rnacentral:rRNA from 1 species
GACGAACGCUGGCGGCGUGCUUAACACAUGCAAGUCGAGCGGAAAGGCCACUUCGGUGGUACUCGAGCGGCGAACGGGUGAGUAACACGUGAGUAAUCUGCCCCUGGCUUUGGGAUAGCCACCGGAAACGGUGCUUAAUACCGGAUACGACCACUUCUCGCAUGGGCUGGUGUGGAAAGUUUUUUCGGCCAGGGAUGUGCUCGCGGCCUAUCGACUUGAUGGUGAGGUAAUGGCUCACCAUGGCUUCGACGGGUAGCCGGCCUGAGAGGGUGACCGGUCACACUGGGACUGAGACACGGCCCAGACUCCUACGGGAGGCAGCAGUGGGGAAUAUUGGACAAUGGGCGGAAGCCUGAUCCAGCAACGCCGCGUGAGGGAUGACGGCCUUCGGGUUGUAAACCUCUUUCAGCAGGGACGAAGCGCAAGUGACGGUACCUGCAGAAGAAGCACCGGCCAACUACGUGCCAGCCGCCGCCGUAA